AUUGAACGCUGGCGGAAUGCUUUACACAUGCAAGUCGAGCGGCAGCGCGGGGCAACCUGGCGGCGAGCGGCGAACGGGUGAGUAAUACAUCGGAACGUGCCCAGACGUGGGGGGAUAACUACUCGAAAGAGUAGCUAAUACCGCAUACGAUCUACGGAUGAAAGCGGGGGAUCGCAAGACCUCGCGCGUCUGGAGCGGCUGAUGGCAGAUUAGGUAGUUGGUUGGAUAAAAGCCUACCAAGCCAACGAUCUGUAGCUGGUCUGAGAGGAUGAUCAGCCACACUGGGACUGAGACACGGCCCAGACUCCUACGGGAGGCAGCAGUGGGGAAUUUUGGACAAUGGGCGAAAGCCUGAUCCAGCCAUUCCGCGUGCAGGAUGAAGGCCCUCGGGUUGUAAACUGCUUUUGUACAGAACGAAAAAGACUCCGGCUAAUACCUGGAGUCCAUGACGGUACUGUAAGAAUAAGCACCGGCUAACUACGUGCC
rnacentral:rRNA from 1 species